CGAUCGAGGGGAGUAUGCUUUUUUUAACUUGGCCAAUCUCCAAACUCUUGGGAGCUCAAACAAGAUGGAGCAGCUUUUCACAAAAUUUGACCGUUGAUAGCUGUUUUUUCUCUUUUGGAGAACCGACCGUUGUUAUUUCGACAACAUUCCCUCUCUCCCUCCAAACCGCGACGAGAAGUUCUCUUUCAGAAACUCGUCAGGAUUCAGGAAGACGCAGAGAGGCCUCGCCGAGCGCGCUAGGUUCGCCGCCUCCUCUCUCGAGCCCUCCGCCACAGACCAGUACCGGCAUCCGUCCCCCUCACUCCGGCAGCCCGACUCGGCCUUCCCGUCUCGACCGCCGCCUCCCUCCCGAGGUAGAUUCUGCAUCUAUUGUUUUGACCAUGGCAUCAGUUACUUACUAUCUUGAUGGCAACGUUGUUAAAGCUAUCAUUCCUCCAAAAAAUAAGGUGUUAGAUGUCACCAAACUCAUUGAUGACCUUAACCAGCAUUCACUAAACUCAAAUGCGCGUGAGCUAUUGGAAUGCUCUGUCUGUCUGACUGCCACGGAUCCUCCACUUCAUCAGUGCUCCAGUGGAAGAGGCGGUGUUUACCUUAGUGCCUCCCUGCCCAAAUCAUAUAGCUUCUUUUGUUCCUGCUCUGGACAAGUACCUUACUUUGAUGGCACAGACUAUACAUCAUGGAUGCACAGUAUGAAAGUUCACUUGAAGGCCAUAUAUUAGCCCUUUGUGGGACAUAGUGGAAACCGGCUUUUUUGUCAUCGAUGAAGCAAACCCUACAUUUGCAGAGUAUCUCUUAAUAACAGAACAAUGCGCGAGCCACUGACGCUCUGUUUUGUGCAUUAAGUGAAGACGAGUACAGUCGAGUGGGCACACUUGAAAGUGCAAAGGAAAUUUGGAAUACUCUGCAAGAAAUUCAUGUUGGCACUUCAUCUGUUCGAGAGUUUAAGAGUUGAACUGUUGAAGAGCAAGCUGAAGAGGUUUGCGUUGGGUGAAGGCGAGUCUCUAAUGGACAUGUAUCAUAGACUCUAUAACCUGGUUACUAGAAUCAGGGACCUUGGAGACAAGCCAUGACCAACUCAUUUGUGGUGAGAAAGAUGAUCCGGGUCAUGACCGCAAGGUAUCCAAUGUUGGUGACUCUCUUUCGCCAAAGGGAUGACUUGGAUGAGCUCAUUCCACACCAUGCCGUUCUCAUCAUGGAAGAUCUUUUAAGGAUUAUGAGGGGUCCCAACAAGGCAAGCACUUCAUAUUCUUUUACAUUUAGCUGGAACAUCUCAGUUGCAUUAUACUGGAUGCAUGCCAAUAUUCAUGAUCAGGUCAUAACAUGCAGUUGUAAAGGUAGGCAGAGCUAAGAUAGACUUCAUGUUGGUAACUUUUUCUAUGAAUCCCUUUCACACUAACAGAUGCCAUCCUUUGGUCUCUGAUAACCAGUUAACCACCCCGUGCAUCAGACCCGCAUGUGACUAGCUCCGUGCACAGAUUUUGAACUUCUACAUCGCAAUGCUCUUCCUUUUCAUUUCACUGUCCAGAUUGUUCCUUGUCAAAUCAUUCUUCUAGGAGGGCCUCAUAUCUGUUAUGAUUGUUUUGAAUUUAUUACAGUGUAUGUUACUAAGCUCAGAAAAAGAAAAAGAAUAUGAAUUUGCAUGCAGGUUCUUUAACAAUUUUGCCACAUUUGUGUGUGCAGUGCUCCAGUGAAAUAGGUGUUCAUAACAAAGUACCCCCGCCCAACUCAUGUAGCCGCUCAGUUUAUGGAGUUUGCUCCAAACAAGUACCUUACUUUGAUGGCACACACUAUGCAUCAUGGAAGCACAAGAUGAAAUUUCACUUGUAUAGCAUGAGCCCCCUUGUAUGACGCAUAGUGGAAAUCGGCUUUGUUGUUGUAGAUAAAGCAAAUCCUACAGAGGCUGAAUAUCGCCUAAUACACAAUGAUGCUCUAGCCACCAACACUCUACUUCGUGGAAUAAGUAGAGAACAGUCCUCUCUAGUGGACCCCCGUGAUAAAGAAACUGCAAAGGACAUUUGGAAUACUCUCCGAAGCAUUCAUGAGGGCACUUUGUCCAUUCGAGAGUUAAGAAUCGCACUGUUGAAAGACAAGUUAUGGAGUUUGGUAAAGGCGAGUCUGUAAACGAUAUGUAUACAAGACUCAGCAUCUUGGUCAAUUAAACCAGAAGCCUUGGAGACAAAGACAUGACUAACUCAUUUGUGGUGAGAAAGGUGCUCCGGGUCAUGAGGGCAACGAAUCCAACAUUGGUGACUCACAUUCGUGGCAGGCAGGACUUCAAUGAUCUCACACCAGGCGAUGUCUUUGGCAGAUUCUUCGUUCAUGAAAUGAUUGAAGAAGAUGCAAGGAUUGUGAGGGAUCUCAACAAGGCCAGCACAAUGAAGAUCAACAUCCGUUUGAAGGCCAAGCAAGUCAUACAAGAAGAUUCAAGUGAUGAAGAGGAAGAUUCAAGCGACGAAGAUGAAGACCAAACGAUGCAAGAGAGGGCUCUCUUUCUGAAGAAAUAUGGCAAGAUCUUCAGAAAAGAUGGAUAUGGAGGCCAAAGCAGAAGAGUCAAGUCUUCCGAAUCCUACAAGUCAAAAAGAAGAAGCAGGCGCAACCUAUAUGUGUGGUGAUCUAAACCACUUCAUCGCAAACUGUCCUAACAAGAGCAACAAGAAGCAAUAGGCAACCCUUUCACAAAAAGGGCAGGUUCCACAACAAAGACCACGAAGGAGCCUAACUUCAGUGAGAAUAUAGUUUGAAAGUCGCCCAUAGUCGACAUCUUUACCUUGUCUAAUACUUGUUAUGGUUCAUAGCUCUUUAUUUUUUGUGGAUGUGUGUUGUCGGUAAACUAAGUCUGGUUUUCUUUGGAGAACAGUGAGUCCGCAAGCUGUAAAACUGCGAAUCUCACCAUUGUGGUGGACCUUGUAUUCUGUAUCCCCCUAGUCUUUGGCGAAGUUAGAUCUCCUCUCUGUUGUAACCGGUGAUAAACGAACAGUACUACUGCUUGACAUUUGAAUCGUGAACUGUGAAAUGUUUGGUAGAAUUGCAGAAA